GUGUCAGCCGCCGCGGUAAUACGAGAGGCCCAAACGUUAUUCGGAUUUACUGGGCUUAAAGAGUUCGUAGGCGGCGCGGAAAGUAGGGUGUGAAAGCCCUCGGCUCAACCGAGGAAUUGCGCUCUAAACUGCCGUGCUUGAGGAACCUAGAGGUGAGCAGAACUGAUGGUGGAGCGGUGAAAUGCGUUGAUAUCAUCAGGAAUACCGGAGGCGAAGGCGGCUCACUGGGGGUUAUCUGACGCUGAGGAACGAAAGCCAGGGGAGCAAACGGGAUUAGAUACCCUCGUAGUCC
rnacentral:rRNA from 1 species